UACGGGGGGGGCAAGCGUUGUUCGGAAUUACUGGGCGUAAAGGGCGCGUAGGCGGUUUGCUAAGUUGAAUGUGAAAACUCUGGGCUUAACCCAGAGCCUGCAUUCAAUACUGGCAGGCUGGAGUUCUGGAGGGGAUAGCGGAAUUCCUGGUGUAGCGGUGAAAUGCGUAGAUAUCAGGAGGAACACCGGUGGCGAAGGCGGCUAUCUGGACAGAAACUGACGCUGGAGGCGCGAAAGCUAGGGGAGCAAACAGG
rnacentral:rRNA from 1 species